UUCCCUCUACUAGGUCUACACUGUACUUGCACAUCUCCAUUAUUACUCCCCCAUUAAAUGAUGUUCAUGUCUUUUGCCCACUCCGCUAAGGAGGAAGACAUGGCUGACAGUGAGAAUCAUCCAAACUGAGACUGGCUAUCUAUCUGUAAUCAAGAUCCAGACAAAUGUAUGCCACUACGGUGAAGAGGAAGUCCUUGGAGCCCCAGUUGGCAGGAGAAUCUGUGACUUCUUAUUCCAUCUUCAAGCAAAGAAGUCUUUCGUCUGCUACAUUUGAAAAGUCAAAAGCCUUUUGUAAUGAUGAAGUAUUAAAUGAGAAGCAUAGAUCCUGAAUAUAGAGUAAUAGAAAAACAGAAGUAGACACACCUGAGUUCAAACCCUGACUUUGCUACCAACUAGGCAAGAGAUGAGAAUACUGAGGCUCAGAGAGGGUAACGACUCGCCCAAGGUUACAAAGCAACAAAGCGGAGGCUCAAAGCCUGUGCUCCUGACCACUCCUCCACAGUCAGCAGUGACCCUUGUGUCCUUUAUACUUUCCACAUUUCCCAAACUUGAAAAUGAAUUGUUUUAAUUGUAUAAGCAGGAGGACAUUUCUGGUUAGCUUUCUAAGCUAGCCAUCAAACCUUGUUAGCUAUACACAGCUGAUGUAUAAGAACACGAGUCUGAGCAGGGCACUGGGUGAAAGACAAGAAAGAACAUGGAAAAUGAGGAUUCAGGAACAGAGGAAGAAGUCAGAUAUGGAAGAAGGAAGAGGGAAAGCAAGCAGAAAUGGAAAAAAGGCAUCCUCAUGAAAGGUAAUAUGAAAGGAAACUGUGGAAGGAGGGUGGGUAAGAUGGUGAAAGGCUUGGAAUGUCAACUUAAGAGCUUUGGACUCUAUUCCAUCUCCAAAACCAGUGCCACUUUUUGCCUCAUGUGGAUUUCAUAACACAAAGACGUAAUGAAUGUAAAACAGCUGUCGACUGGAAAACGGAGGAAGUGUUGGCACCUAUAAAGACCAAUUUUUUUUAAGCAUGAGAUUACUUAAGUGUCAUAUUUAUAGUCAGAAUCACCUUAUCCUUUGAAGUAAUGAAACAAAACGAUUUUCACAUUUUCAAAGUACUAAUGAAAACCCAGCACACUAAAUGAUUGCAAAUGCUUAGAUGCAUGUGAUCAGGGGUCAUCUCUUCUAGCGUGUUUAUUUUUUAAUAACAAAUGCUUUGUGCACCAUCCUCAACAGCAUCUGACACUGUCUCUAUGCUCAGCAGGUACUCUAUAAACACUGGUGGCUAGAGUUUCCAGGCACAGCUCCAGACUCAUCAGGUCACUGGAAUAUUAAGCAGAGAAACUGAGGCAGAAGCCCAAUUGUGAAGCAGCCCAGUGGCAUUUUAAAAGACUACCUCUUGGAGCCUGCUCAGGUAUCCAGGACUUGGUCCAUCACAAGAAAAAACUGAAUACCAGGCACCUCCCCUGGCACAGUGGAGUUAUAUACUCAUUGAGCACCCUGGGUGCCAGGCACUAUGUUGAUGCUGCAGAAACAGAGACACAGAAGACAGACUCCUGUCCUCAAGGACUCACAGGGAGUGGUGGGACAGAGCUUGUAGAUGGGUGUCCAUAGGUCCUACACUAAGGGCUGAUUGAGUAGAGGUGAGAUGGCGGGUACAGGGACCAGGGCAGGGACCCUCUUAGUCAGGCUGCAGUGAUCUUCACUAUCCCUCAGCAACUGUGCAAGAAAGGAGCCUGGUUUCCUGCA